CUAGGGGGGCACCAUCUCUGAUGCUUUCCGGUGUAUGUCAAGCCUUGGUAGGUUCUUCGCGUUGCGUCGAAUUAAGCCACAUGCUCCGCCGCUUGUGCGGGCCCCCGUCAAUUCCUUUGAGUUUUAGCCUUGCGGCCGUACUCCCCAGGCGGGGCACUUAAUGCGUUAGCUGCGGCACGGACAACGUGGAAUGUUGCCCACACCUAGUGCCCACCGUUUACGGCGUGGACUACCAGGGUAUCUAAUCCUGUUCGCUCCCCACGCUUUCGCUCCUCAGCGUCAGUAUCGGCCCAGAGAUCCGCCUUCGCCACCGGUGUUCCUCCUGAUAUCUGCGCAUUUCACCGCUACACCAGGAAUUCCGAUCUCCCCUACCGAACUCUAGCCUGCCCGUAUCGACUGCAGACCCGGGGUUAAGCCCCGGGCUUUCACAACCGACGUGACAAGCCGCCUACGAGCUCUUUACGCCCAAUAAUUCCGGACAACGCUUGCGCCCUACGUAUUACCGCGGCUGCUGGCACGUAGUUAGCCGGCGCUUCUUCUGCAGGUACCGUCACUUUCGCUUCUUCCCUGCUGAAAGAGGUUUACAACCCGAAGGCCGUCAUCCCUCACGCGGCGUCGCUGCAUCANGCUUUCGCCCAUUGNGCAAUAUUCCCCACUGCUGCCUCCC
rnacentral:rRNA from 1 species